rnacentral:lncRNA from 1 species
UUUUCUUUUGCAUUUUUAGGGCCACACCUGUGGCAUGUGGAAGUUCCCAGGCUAGGGGAUGAAUCAGUGCUGCAGCUGCUGGCCUACGCCACAGCCACAGCCACAGCCACAGCCACACGGGAUCCAAGCAGCAUCUUUGACCCACACCACAGUUCAGGGCAACACCAGACUUUUAAGCCACUGAAUGAGGCCAGGGAUCAAACCCGUAUCCUCAUGGAUACUAGUUGGGUUCACUACUGGAAUUCCCAAAAUAAUUUUUUUGAAAAAAAAAAAAAAAGCUGCCAUGCACAGAUGAACUUAUCUAUAAAAUAGAAACAGACUCACAGAUUUAGAGAACAGACGUGAUUGCCAAGGGGGAGGGGUGAGGCAGUGGAUGGACUGAGAGUUUGGGGUUGGUAGAUGCAAACGAUUACAUUUAGAAUGGAUAAGCAAUGAGGUCUGGCUGUACAGCACAGGCAACUAUAUCCAGUCUCUUAGGACAGAACACGAUGGAAGAUAACAUAAGAAGGGGAAUGUAUAUAUGUAUGUGACUGGGCCAUUUUGCUAUACAGCAGAAGUUGACACAACAUUGUAAAUAGACUACAAUUAAAAAAUAUUUUUUUAAAGCUGCCAGGGACAACACAUACACAGUUGGGUGUGGCUAUGACCAAUAAGAUUUUGUUUACAUUAAGGGGGGUAGUUUCCUGAGUCCUAGCCUAGGCUACGUGGGCAGGGUAGGGAAAAUAAGCUAUAAUGUUAGUGUCUUCAAUCCCCAGAGUCAAGAAAAACACAACAAAAAGUCUAUUAAAAUUCUCUUACGUAGAAAUGAUCUCUGAUCACCCACUCUUUUUCUGUCAGGCAUGACAGAAACAACUCACUGUUUCUUAUUGAAUAUACAAAUCCUGAUCGACUUGCAGUGCCUGCCAGGAGUACUGUGUUAAUAAGAAAUACCCAGAGAUUCUAUCCUGGAGCCACAAGAAAAAGCUCUGUGAUUGAUUAGCAAUGUCUGCCUUGGGCAAGGGAAGGGAGGAAGAUGGCAUGAGGUAAAUUGGGGUCCCUCACAUUUGUCACUUAUGGUCUAUAUUGUUGCAGCCCAUUUUCAAUAAAAAUUAAUUGUUGAUAAUUCAGUCUGCUUUUCAGACAGGUAUGAAUAAUCUUUUGAAUGCCUUUAACCCAGUGAUCUGAUUGACACCUUCAAUCACACCAUCCUCAAAGUAAAGAGCUGGUUAAUACAACGAAGCUAAAAAGGACGAAAAAAAAUUUGCCUAACCACCACUGCUUUCAAUUAUAGGUAUCCAACCAAAUGAAUUCUUCCAGUAACCCCCUUGCAACAAUAUUUACCUGCUCAUCCUUGACCUGGGCCAAGCAAGCACGGAGCAUUCCUAUAGGAUGGACUGCUCUCAGCGGAGGCUCUCACAUCUUACCCUUCUCUGUGCUCAGAGCCAGAAUGCAGAAUCAUCAAAAAAUGUGAACUGCAUUAUUCAGCAAUUCUCUUCUGGUGAGCACACAAACGACCACCUGUGUCAGCUAAGAGAUGCUGAAAACCAAUCCAGCUAAAGUGCAAAAGAACGUAGAUUUAAGAGGCAAUGAAAAUACAUCUUUAGGUACCACUCUUCUAUUCUAGUCAUCGUGAUGACUAACUUGGAGACUUUGCGACCAUAAGAAUUUCCUCUUCUAAUACUCUGUUUAGACCAGCACUGUCCAUAAUGGUAGCUGCUAGCCAUAUGUAGGAAUUUAAAUGUAUACGUUUAAAUAAAAUUGGAGUUCCCAUUGUGGCUCAUCGGUAAUGAACCCGACAUGCCAUCAUAGUAUCUGUGAGGAUGUGGGUUCAACCCCUGGCCUUGCUCAGUGGGCUAAGGAUUUGGCGUUGCCGUGAGCUGUGGUGUAGGCUGAAGAUGGGGUUUGGAUCCCACGUUGCUGUGGCUGGCAGCUGUAGCUCCGAUACUGACCCCUAGCCUGGGAACUUCCAUAUGCCACCAGUCCAGCCCUAAAAAGCCUAAAUAAAUAAAUAAAUAUUACCAUUUCAGUUCUUUAGUCACAUCAGUCAUAUUUUCCAAGUGUCUGGUGACUAUCUGACCCUACAGUGCAGAUUAAAGAACACGGCCCAAAGAAAGUUCUACUGGACAGCGCUGGUUUGGACUGAAGUGGGCAAGUGCGACUAGCACCUCUAACUCGCCUGAGUGCUCUGUUUCUGGCUGGGAGAGCACCCUGGCGAUGCUCAACAAAAGACAGAGGGGACUCAGUGGACUCCUCGCUCCCUGGCUUGGGUAACCUGGGGAUGGGUCUACAAGGGCUCCCAGACUUCCCUGGGAACAGUGAGCCCCAGCUGACCACCUGCUGUGGUUCACUUGUUGGGACUGGGGGGGCUUCCGGAGGAACCCAACUAAGACAACCACCUUGUCCUUCACAGACCACAGGACAGUCAUGUGUAUCUUGACAUCUGACCGCGGUGUUGAAAAACUAGCUAAUUUCACUGGUGAAAAAAGAUGAUCAUGUAUGAAGUCAGUUUGUAGAGAAGACCUUCCAAAAGAAAAUGUCUCCUGUCUUGCUUUAUAUAUAUAUAUAUAUUUCUUUUUGUCUUUUUGCUAUUUCUUUGGGCCGCUCCCACGGCAUAUGGAGGUUCCCAGGUGUGGCCCUAAAAAAAAGGCAAACAGACAACCAAAAAACCAAAUUCCCAUUGUCUGUGACUUCUCUAUGGAUUUUCCCAGGGCAGUCAACCAGAUCACAGCAGAAGUGGUAACCCUGCUCCCCGAGAAAGAGCCACUGGGAGGUGCAGGCUGCUGCUAACAGGCUGUUCGUGUGCUCAACACGAAUGCUUUGAAAAUUAAGACUAUCUUGACUUUCUGCCUAGGUUUUAUCACGUUUUAUCACAUUACUACAUGCCAGACUGACUCGACCUCCUCCCACAGCAGAAGACUCCCUGAGUAAGAACCACAUUCUCCGCUGCAUAAUGAACUGAGGCUCUGUGUGUGUGUGAGCCCCUUGACCCACGGUGGGUGCUCAGGAAAUGGGCCCCCACGCGCAGGCCGAGCAUCUGCCGUGUGCUAAGUACUUUAUACACUUUAUCCCAUGGAUUCUUCACAGCAGCCCUUCCGGUUUGUGCCGUGAAUGGUCCCCACCUCCCAGGAAACCAAGGCUUGGAGAGAUUAAAUGGCUGGUCCCGGGCCCCACAGCCCACGGGUGUCACAGCAGGACUCCUGCUCAGGUCUGUGGGACCCUGGACCACACCACUAACUCCACCCGGAAUUACUUUACAAUUAAUUAUAAGACGUGGGUCUACCCAUCUUCUGGUUUUCUCAGUGACCCUGAGGCCCAAGUAAGGGCUCCGCUAAGUGUCUAUUUUAGUGACUGAGAUAACGGAAGCUUACAUGACCGAGCCUGAGCCCUCACACCCCAGUCCCAUGCUCCUUCCCGUGGGGCCUGACCCACUGGGCUGCAGCUGUUCUCUUCCCUUCCUCAGCCCAGCAUCCCUGGUCCAGCAGCGUGAGCCCAGAGACCCCACUGCAGGCCCAGAGCUGGGGAACCCAGGCCGGUCCUGUGCACAAGGCCUUGGCCAGGCCGGACAAGCCACUGGGCUGGGCUCAUGUUCAUUCCGCUCUGAGUCAGCAGCUAAAAAAGGCUGCUAAUCUUUAAUUCAGGGAUGUUAUUUUUCUAUUACAGAAAUUUCAGCCAAACUAAUGGUUUCACACUAUAUCAGGAACCUCAGAAGCGCCAGCAGGAUAAUCCAGACAUGGACUCAUUUAACCUCACUCUCCAAAGUGGAAAGUGGGCCUCGUCAUCCCAGGCCAGUCCCCGGGGGUGCAUACUGGAAGGUGGCUGUCAGCCCCCUAGCCACGGGGAGCCCCAGGGGGGAGGAAGCAACAGGCUUGGGAGGAAGCAACAGGCUAUGGUCUGUAGGAACCACACUCAGUGGGUUAACUCGGACCGGGAUCCCCAGCCCUCAGCCACACUGCCCGGGUUGUUCCCAGGAGCCUGUUUAAAACGUCUGAGGCCUACUGGGGUUCCCAUUGUGGCUUAGCAGUUAUGAACCUGACUAGUAUCCAUAAGGAUGUGGGUUUGAUCCCUGGCCUCACUCAGUGGGUUAACAAUCUGGUGUUGCUGUGCACUGCAGCACCGGUCACAGAUGUGGCUUGAAUUCUGGUGUGGCUGUAGUGUAGGCCAGCAGCUGCAGCUCCAGGUCUACCUCUAGCCUGAGAACUUCCAUAUGUCACAGGUACAGCCCUAAAAAGAAAAAACAGACAAAAAAUAAAACAAACCAAAACAACCCCCCCCCUGAAAAAAAGUCUGAGGCCUAGGAAACUGCUGUGACCCUCCGGGGACAGAGGCUGGGCACCCCCUCACCUGACCCCAAUCCUCCCAGAAGCCACCCUGAGGCUUGAGCAUCCAGACCAGGAUCAGAAGGCCAGGGAGAGGCAGCCAGUGCCCCAAGGCCCUGGGCUCAGGUCCUCAGCCAGCCUGGGCCUCAGGCAGGGAGUCAGGGAGGCUCCCUGGGCAACCGCUGGGGUCAGGAAGGCGAGGUUCCAGCCACUUGCAGGUCGAGGCAGAAACACAGAAGCCUUCCCUCCCAAUCCUCACAGAUGCACAUUUUAAAAUACAGCCUGGGGUUUCUCAGGGCAAGAAAUCUUAGAAACAAAUCCCCUGAGAUGGGGUGUCUCGAAUGACCGACCAUGUGUCUCACGAGAAACGCUAAGUGGACAUGAGCCCAUGGCAAGGCCGGCCUGGUGCUCACAUGUGGCUGACACCCUCCCUCUGGUUGUGAGUUUGUCAAUUUGUCGAGGGCAGGAGGAGAUGAGGUCCAACUGGCUUACAGGCGCAGCCACCCUCCCCGCAGCCAGCGGUCCGGAGCGAGCAGCCCAGGCAUGGAGGGUCUCAGCCUCAGUCUCAGCCUUGGCGGCACCAUCAGGAACUUUCCAACCACUCAUGUCUGGCUCCAAACACCUCAGCUGUCCUGGCCCAAGGGGAGGGGGGUGCUGGGCUGAAAAUCUCCCCAGGGUUCCUCACACUAGGGUGCCCCCAACGUGCCCCUGGGAGCCUGCGAAACCCCAAUGACUGGGUCCCCUUGCCAGAGGCUCUGCCCUGCAGGUCUCAGGUGGGGCCUUGGAAUGUGCAUUUCCAACAAGCUCCCGGGGGCCACUGCUGGUGCAGAUCCCACCCCUGCUUUGAGAACAGCUGCCCUGAGAACACUUAGAUGAGGGCAGGGCCCUGCCUUCCUGGGGACCCCAGUAUGCAAAUGGGACUUCAGGUGGACCCCAGACACAAACAAGGUGAGAGGACACAGCCCAGCCUUGUGACCAGAAAAGCCGGGAAAUGUGAGUGCUGGGCCUCGCUCUGUUGCCAUCCAGAGGCGGACCCUGGAGAUACCCCUUCCCCCGCUGCAGACCCCAGUCCUGGCAUCACCAGUGGAACAAAGUAAAUUCAAGUAAAGAAUCCCCAGUCACCCCAGGUACACUGCUGCUCCAGAAACAGCUACGGAGGGGUGGGGACCAGGCCAGAAUGAACCCCACAGGGCUGGAGACGCGCCCAGGGCCCCUUUGCUCCUUGGCCACAAGGAAGAAGUGGCCAUCGUUGUCACAGGUCAGGAGAGGGAGCCCAGGGGUGCAGGGGGCCAGGAAGUGGCUGCCACUUGAGAUGACCCCCCCCAGUGGGUGUUCCCAGCACCCCCACUUCCAUGGCCCGUGGCCGCCACACACAGGUGUGCUCACUGCUCACGGCUCCGUGGGAGCCUGAAAUUUCAAGUCUGGGGACACUGCCCCCAGGUGCUCACCUGUGGCCAAUGGCACAUGGAUGCAUGUGCCAUCCUCUGUUCCCAAAGGGAAGUAAGUCCAAGAUGUAAGGAAGACCGGACAGGUGGCCUGGCCACCAGACCCCCCGGAACAAGGGGUUAGCCCAGACCAGUGGCUUUCAAGCAUUUUUAGAGGAUGAACCUUUCUUCUUCUUUUUAAUAGAUCCCUAGCACAGGGUCGACCAGUGCUGAGGUUCUGACUGUGUGUCUCUGUGUGGGGGUGAGAGUGGGGAGGGAGGGGUCCCUGAGUCCCAGACAGCCUCCCACCCCCGCCACCAGGGGUGUGGUACAUACAUACAAUGGAAUACCCUUCAGCCAUAGACAAGAAUGACAUAUUGCCACAUGCAGCAGCAUGUAUGCAACUAGAGAUGCUCACACGCACUUGUAUGUGGAAUCUGAAAAAAUGAUGCAGAUGAACUUGUUUACAAAACAGAAAUAGACUCGCAGAGAACAAACUUAUGGUUACCAAAGGGGACAAAGGGGAGGGGAGGGAUAAGAUAGGAGUUUGGGAUUAUAUGCACACCACUAUACAUAAAACAGAUAACCAACAAGGACCUAUCGUAUAGCACAGAGAACUCUACUCACUAUCUUGUAAUAACCUAUAAUGGAGAAGAAUCUGAAAAAUAUAUAUACACAUGUAUGUAUACACACACACAAAUAUAUACACAUGACUGAAUCACUUUCCUGUAUACCUGAAAUUAACACAACAUUGUGAAUCAACUAUACAUCAAUCAAUAAAUACAUAAAUAAAUUUUUUAAAAAAUAAAGUAUUGACUACGGUACUAGUUUUAAUAUGGCACAGGCCCCAUCUCAGGGAAGGUCAGGGAGAGCAGAGAGGGAGGCAGGAUGUCUUUCUCGCCUCAGCCUCCCCUCCAGGCCUGGCACCUGUCCCAGGGUCUAGGGCAGGGCCGGCAGCAGCAAACGUUUCCUGGAAAAGGGCCACAGAGUAAAAAAUUUAGGUCGUGCAGGUCCUGUGGCCUGUAUUGCAACUAUUCAACUCUGCCUUCAAAGAGCAAGAGCAGCCAUGUGUGGCUGUGUGUGGCUGUGCUCCAAUAAAACUUUAUUUAUGAAAACCGCCAACAGACCGGGUUUAGUGGAGGGCCCCAGUUUUGCUGAGCCCUGGCAUAGGGAAAAACGCUGUGGGGUCCGCAACCCUAAGAUUCUUUCCACAUUUAUGACAAUGAAUUCUCAAUUCUUAAACUCUACUUGCCGGAGUCUUGGUCUAACCUAUCAAGAAUACACUCAUUCCUGAACUUCACGGAUUUUUGUUCCAAGAACCAAAAAUGUUCUGAUGAGCUAAUGAAUGUGAAAAAUGCUUUGAAAAGCCUAAGCUUUGCAAACGGGCAGACCCACCAAAGCCUCUAAGAGCAGAGCUUACCAUCCUUUACCUGUGUUUCAGGAAGAUUCCAGGCACUGGGUUAUGUCCGCCUGGGCUGCUUUUAAAGAACGGGGUUUAAAGAAUGCUGCAGUAAAAAGGGCCUAAAGGGACAACGAAGCUGGAAGAAAUGAAUAGUGUCUGGUCCUUGUCUCCUGGAGCCUGAAACUUUUAAACUCUCCAUAGAAAAUCCCACACUCCCCAUUUCAUCCUGUUUGUCUACGCAGCGGCCUCUUAGGCCAGGAAACGGCAUUAGUCAGGAGGCUCCUGGUUAAUCCCUGGAUACGUCUCCUUUGCGCAGCUGUGAAAAUGCUGCAUUGUUAUUUAACUGCACUGAACCGCUCUCCAUCCUUGAAACUGUCUUCAUAAUCACACCGUGACCUAAGGUGCCCUCGCGUGGUGAAGUCCCCGUGAAUGGCUGCCAUCCGUCUACCCUCCAUCGUCCUUCUGGCAGAAAGAAAUCGUAGCCACAAUUUAGUAAGCACCUACUGUGGCUGAGCUUUUGCUANUUUUUUUUUUUUUGGUCUUUUUGGCUUUUCUAGAGCCGCACCCACGGCAUACGGAGGUUCCCAGGCAAGGGGUCUAAUCGGAGCUGUAGCUGCUGGCCUACACCACAGCCACAGCAACGCCAGAUCUGAGCCAAGUCUGCAACCUACACCACAGCUCAUGGCAACACCGGAUCCUUAACCCACUGGGCAAGGCCAGGGAUCGAACCCUCAACCUCAUGAUUCCUGGUCAGAUUCGUUAACCACUGAGCUACGACAGGAACUCUGAGGUUUUGCUGUUUCAUGAAGCUUACUUCACCUCAUGACAACCACAACUCUGAGACGUGGG